GACGAACGCUGGCGGCGUGCUUAACACAUGCAAGUCGAACGGUGAAGCUCCAGCUUGCUGGAGUGGAUCAGUGGCGAACGGGUGAGUAACACGUGAGCAACCUGCCCCUGACUCUGGAAUAAGCGCUGGAAACGGCGUCUAAUACUGGAUACGAGAAGGGUCCGCAUGGGCACUUUCUGGAAAGUUUUUCGGUUGGGGAUGGGCUCGCGGCCUAUCAGCUUGUUGGUGAGGUAAUGGCUCACCAAGGCGACGACGGGUAGCCGGCCUGAGAGGGCGACCGGCCACACUGGGACUGAGACACGGCCCAGACUCCUACGGGAGGCAGCAGUGGGGAAUAUUGCACAACGGGCGAAAGCCUGAUGCAGCGACGCCGCGUGAGGGAUGACGGCCUUCGGGUUGUAAACCUCUUUCAGCAGGGAAGAAGCGAAAGUGACGGUACCUGCAGAAGAAGCACCGGCUAACUACGUG
rnacentral:rRNA from 1 species